rnacentral:rRNA from 1 species
CGAACAAGGUUUCCGUAGGUGAACCUGCGGAAGGAUCAUUGUCGAAACCUGCAAAGCAGAACGACCCGCGAACCGUGCGAAAAUCACGGCGGGGCGCGGGGGAGCCGCGGGCACGUCCCGGGCUCUCCCCCGGACCCCGCCCCACGAAACAAAACCCCGGCGCGACACGCGCCAAGGAAUCGAAAACGAAAAGACAGGGAACGGGCGGCCCGUCGGGCGCCGGGAACGGAAUCCCCGCGGGCGGUCCCUUUCCUUUCGGAAACAAAACGACUCUCGGCAACGGAUAUCUCGGCUCUCGCAUCGAUGAAGAACGUAGCGAAAUGCGAUACUUGGUGUGAAUUGCAGAAUCCCGUGAACCAUCGAGUCUUUGAACGCAAGUUGCGCCCGAAGCCUUCGGGCCGAGGGCACGUCUGCCUGGGUGUCAUGCAUCGUCGCCCCCCCAAUCCUCCGGGGUACGGGGCGGGCGGAGACUGGUCUCCCGUGCGCUCCCGCUCGCGGCUGGCCGAAAUACGAGUUGUUGGCGGCCGAGAGCGCCACGGCAAGCGGUGGUUGUCGAGACCUUCGGAGAUUGCCGUCGGCGAGGCCGUCGCGAGGCUCCGGGACCCUGUUUUCUACCCACAGCGACCCCAGUCAGGCGGAUUACCCGCUGAGUUUAGCAUAUCAAUAAGCGGAGGAAAAGAAACUUACCAGGAUUCCCUAGUACGGCGAGCGAACCGGGAAAGCCAAGCUUGAAAUCGGGCCCCCCGGGUCGAUUGUAUCUGAAAAGGUCUCAGCGCGGACGGGCCAGUCCUGGAGGGGCGCGGAAGGGAAGCCCUCGGUCGACUGCGACACAGGGGU